rnacentral:rRNA from 1 species
AGUGAACGCUGGCGGUAGGCCUAACACAUGCAAGUCGAACGGCAGCACAGUAAGAGCUUGCUCUUACGGGUGGCGAGUGGCGGACGGGUGAGGAAUACAUCGGAAUCUACUUUUUCGUGGGGGAUAACGUAGGGAAACUUACGCUAAUACCGCAUACGACCUACGGGUGAAAGCAGGGGAUCUUCGGACCUUGCGUGAUUGAAUGAGCUGAUGUCGGAUUAGCUAGUUGGCGGGGUAAAGGCCCACCAAGGCGACGAUCCGUAGCUGGUCUGAGAGGAUGAUCAGCCACACUGGAACUGAGACACGGUCCAGACUCCUACGGGAGGCAGCAGUGGGGAAUAUUGGACAAUGGGCGCAAGCCUGAUCCAGCCAUACCGCGUGAGUGAAGAAGGCCUUCGGAUUGUAAAGCCCUUUUGUUGGGAAAGAAAAGCAGCAGGUUAAUACCCCGCUGUUCUGACGGUACCCAAAGAAUAAGCACCGGCUAACUUCGUG